UACGUAGGUGGCGAGCGUUGUCCGGAUUUACUGGGCGUAAAGGGAGCGUAGGCGGACUUUUAAGUGAGAUGUGAAAUACCCGGGCUCAACUUGGGUGCUGCAUUUCAAACUGGAAGUCUAGAGUGCAGGAGAGGAGAAUGGAAUUCCUAGUGUAGCGGUGAAAUGCGUAGAGAUUAGGAAGAACACCAGUGGCGAAGGCGGCUCUCUGGACUGUAACUGACGCUGAGGCACGAAAGCGUGGGGAGCAAACAGGAUUAGAUACCCU
rnacentral:rRNA from 1 species